rnacentral:rRNA from 1 species
ACAACUUUCAAUAAUGGAUCUCUUGGCUCUUGCAUCGAUGAAGAACGCAGCGAAAUGCGAUAAGUAAUGUGAAUUGCAGAAUUCAGUGAAUCAUCGAAUAUUUGAACGCAUCUUGCACUCCUUGGUAUUCUGAGGAGUAUGCCUGUUUGAGUGUCAUUU